CGGCGAGUGAAGAGGGAAGAGCCCAAGAUUGAAAGCUGGCGUCUUCGGCGUCCGCAUUGUAAUCUCAAGAAGUGUUUUCCGCUUCGGACCAAGCCUAAGUCCCCUGGAAAGGGGCAUCAUAGAGGGUGAUAAUCCCGUACAUGGCUUGGAGCGCCCGAGGCUUUGUGAUACGCUUUCUAAGAGUCGAGUUGUUUGGGAAUGCAGCUCAAAAUGGGUGGUAAAUGCCAUCUAAGGCUAAAUAUUGGGGAGAGACCGAUAGCGAACAAGUACAGUGAUGGAAAGAUGAAAAGAACUUUGAAAAGAGAGUUAAACAGUACGUGAAAUUGCCAAAAGGGAAGGGUAGGAGGUCAGAGAUGCGGCCUGGGAUUCAGCCUUGCUUUUGCUUGGUGUUUUUCCCAGAUUGCAGGCCAACGUCGGUUUUGGGCACUGGAGAAGGGUAGGAGGAACGUGGCACCCCUCGGGGUGUGUUAUAGCCUCCUACUGGAUACAGCGACCGAGACCGAGGACAGCAGCGUACUCGCAAGAGCGGGCCUUCGGGCACCUUUACGCUUAGGGCGUUGGCAUAAUGGCCCUCUACCAC
rnacentral:rRNA from 1 species